GAAAGGCGCGCGAUACAGGGUGACAGCCCCGUACACAAAAGCGUAUGUGCUGUGAGCUCGAUGAGUAGGGCGGGACACGUGGUAUCCUGUCUGAAUAUGGGGGGACCAUCCUCCAAGGCUAAAUACUCCUGACUGACCGAUAGUGAACCAGUACCGUGAGGGAAAGGCGAAAAGAACCCCGGCGAGGGGAGUGAAAAAGAACCUGAAACCGUGUACGUACAAGCAGUGGGAGCCCCACCACUAAGCCAGUGGUGAACUCCACAUACGCAUCCUUUGCUGAGGAUACGGUUAACGGAGCGAAAGCGACGUUCAACCGCAAAAGAAGCAGAGGGGGCUUAGUGGUGGGGUGACUGCGUACCUUUUGUAUAAUGGGUCAGCGACUUAUAUUCUGUAGCAAGGUUAACCGAAUAGGGGAGCCGGAGGGAAACCGAGUCUUAACCGGGCGUUAAGUUGCAGGGUAUAGACCCGAAACCCGGUGAUCUAGCCAUGGGCAGGUUGAAGGUUGGGUAACACUAACUGGAGGACCGAACCGACUAAUGUUGAAAAAUUAGCGGAUGACCUGUGGCUGGGGGUGAAAGGCCAAUCAAACCGGGAGAUAGCUGGUUCUCCCCGAAAGCUAUUUAGGUAGCGCCUCGUGAAUUCAUCUCCGGGGGUAGAGCACUGUUUCGGCUAGGGGGCCAUCCCGGCUUACCAACCCGAUGCAAACUGCGAAUACCGGAGAAUGUUAUCACGGGAGACACACGGCGGGUGCUAACGUCCGUCGUGAAGAGGGAAACAACCCAGACCGCCAGCUAAGGUCCCAAAGUCAUGGUUAAGUGGGAAACGAUGUGGGAAGGCCCAGACAGCCAGGAUGUUGGCUUAGAAGCAGCCAUCAUUUAAAGAAAGCGUAAUAGCUCACUGGUCGAGUCGGCCUGCGCGGAAGAUGUAACGGGGCUAAACCAUGCACCGAAGCUGCGGCAGCGAACGUAUCACUUAAAGCGAUUCAGCGGGUUACGAUUGACGGAGCGAAGCGACGUCAAAGCGUAUACAAAGUCGAGUCGGUUUAAGGAUACGUUCGUUGGGUAGGGGAGCGUUCUGUAAGCCUGUGAAGGUGGCCUGUGAGGGUUGCUGGAGGUAUCAGAAGUGCGAAUGCUGACAUAAGUAACGAUAAAGCGGGUGAAAAGCCCGCUCGCCGGAAGACCAAGGGUUCCUGUCCAACGUUAAUCGGGGCAGGGUGAGUCGACCCCUAAGGCGAGGCCGAAAGGCGUAGUCGAUGGGAAACGGGUUAAUAUUCCCGUACUUGG
rnacentral:rRNA from 1 species